rnacentral:rRNA from 1 species
UUGAAAGGGAAACGAUUGAAGUCAGUCGUACCGACGAGAAAUCAACUUAUCGUGUGCGAACUUGUGGGCGUGCGUGAGUUUCGGCCUCGCUGUUUGCAUAUUUGUGCGUUUUGGGUGUACUUUUUCGUAUGGUAGGCCAACGUCAGUUUCGAUUAUCAUAAAAUGACCGGCGGAAUGUAGCUUCGAUUUCGGUUGAAGUGUUAUAGCCUCUGGUAGAUGUGGUGAUUGAGACUGAGGAUUGCAACGAAUACCCUUCGGGCUAUCCGUCUGGCCUCUGAAAGUUGCUCAGGUGCCGAAAGCGUGCUUACGGUCAUCUAAGAUAACGUUCAACAGGUUAGAACGUGAUUACAUUCGUUAAGGAUGUUGACGUA